UACGGGGGGGGCAAGCGUUGUUCGGAAUUACUGGGCGUAAAGGGCUUGUAGGUGGCCAACUAAGUCAGACGUGAAAUCCCUCGGCUUAACCGGGGAACUGCGUCUGAUACUGGAUGGCUGGAGUGUGGGAGAGGGAUGCGGAAUUCCAGGUGUAGCGGUGAAAUGCGUAGAUAUCUGGAGGAACACCGGUGGCGAAGGCGGCAUUCUGGACCGACAUUGACGCUGAGGAGCGAAAGCCAGGGGAGCAAACGGG
rnacentral:rRNA from 1 species